UACAGAGGUCCCAAGCGUUGUUCGGAAUUACUGGGCGUAAAGGGCGCGUAGGCGGCCUUCUAAGUCGAACGUGAAAUCCCCGGGCUCAACCCGGGAACUGCGUCCGAGACUGAAAGGCUCGAAUCCGGGAGAGGGAUGUGGAAUUCCAGGUGUAGCGGUGAAAUGCGUAGAUAUCUGGAGGAACAUCGGUGGCGAAGGCGGCAUCCUGGACCGGUAUUGACGCUGAGGCGCGAAAGCCAGGGGAGCAAACGGG
rnacentral:rRNA from 1 species